rnacentral:rRNA from 1 species
CCUGGCUCAGAGUGAACGCUGGCGGUAGGCCUAACACAUGCAAGUCGAACGGCAGCACAGAGGAGCUUGCUCCUUGGGUGGCGAGUGGCGGACGGGUGAGGAAUACAUCGGAAUCUACUCUGUCGUGGGGGAUAACGUAGGGAAACUUACGCUAAUACCGCAUACGACCUACGGGUGAAAGCAGGGGAUCUUCGGACCUUGCGCGAUUGAAUGAGCCGAUGUCGGAUUAGCUAGUUGGCGGGGUAAAGGCCCACCAAGGCGACGAUCCGUAGCUGGUCUGAGAGGAUGAUCGGCCACCCUGGAACUGAGACACGUCCGGGACCCCAAGGG